AUCCGGCUGACGUGUCCCGAAUAGGACGAAACACUCAUCCUGGAU
rfam:Schistosoma mansoni strain Puerto Rico chromosome 3, complete genome